UGGGGGAUUGUGUUUAUUUCAAAAGCAUAGCCAACCCCAUAGAAGUUGUAGGCAAAGGGCGGAUCGCUAGUAUGGAUCCAUCUACGGAGGUAGGCGGAGUAGAACUCAGAGUUAAUUGGUGUGAGAUUCAUGUUCAAAUCCCAAUCAUAUGGGGUGAGCAUUUGAUGAGGCCUUACGCAGUCCUUAAGACCGUUGGCGAUGCCAUUGGUACGCCAAUAGCUUGGCCUAUUUCUUUGGUAGUGAGAGAUGAUGAUGAUGGCUUUAUUGAAUGAAUGAGAUCAGUUGGAAGAUGCCUAGUAGACAGAGUUAUUUCACAAGAAUACUAGUUUUAUGGUUUUAUUUGUUUUGUUUCUACUGGUAGUUCUUUUAAGGGUAGGCAUUUCAUGCUUUGAUCUAGAGUUUGGUAAGUAGGAUUUUGCUGGAAACUUUAGUAAGUUUCUUAGAAGUGAAGUUUGUUUUUUGUUGAAAACAUUAGAAUUCUGCUAAAAUAGUUUCUAUUCAAUGUUGUGUGUUUUGUUUUUGGAUAAUUGUGAGGUUUGUUGACUAGUAGUUUCUAUUGAAUGACUAUGGCUUAUGUUGUUUGGACAUGGUUG